CACAGGUUCAUUCAAAUCCGAAUUCUAUACUACCAUCAAGACACAAAGAAAUACAGAGAUGGCAUUGCAUUUCUGACCUGUUUUGUUUUUAGCAAAAUUCUCCUCUGGCCUUCUCGCCAAUGCCAUAUGUAGUUGACGAAGUGAUCCCCACUCCAUGGUAGCAGACCCAAUGCAUAUGUCAAAUACAAGACAACAUACUCAUCAAUAAACAUAAAUCAAAAUACAUCUCUGAUAACCUUAUCUAAAAUGCCAAUACCAACAAUAACUAAACAUAUUCGUGACACCAAUUUUGAUCUAAGAGAGUAUAAUCAACCAACCAAACAUAAGAAAAAAAUGCAUAUACCUACAAUCGGGUUCAAAAUGCAUAUACCUACAAUCGGGUUCAAAAUGCAUAUACCUACAAUCGGGUUCAAAAUUCUUUAAAAAUCAACCAUUACAAACCUUCACAAACUCAAUGGAUGCAGAUAAUACGCAUAAUUAAAGAAUCUAGCAGUGCAUAACAAAAUUUCCCCAAAUCCAGAAACCAUAUUCAAGAAUCGGGUUUCUAUUUCUAACAAUCAUGCCUUAAUAACAUCUCACACACUCAUACAUCCUUCUAAUAACCCUAUUUAUGCACACUAGCAACGAAUUACACGUUUUCCCCAAAUCCAAGAACCCUAAUUUUACCAAAUCAGAAACCCUAAUUUUACAAAUUCAGAAACCCUAAUCAACGAAUCAAUAAAGAAAUUCAUACCUUCAAAAACCGAUUGCUGCU
rnacentral:lncRNA from 1 species